rnacentral:lncRNA from 1 species
UUUAUACUUCAUCUCUUAGGUUUAGUGGCAAACUUGCAAUUAAGCAUAAAUUCCCACUACCCUUGACAUGGCCGGCCUCCUUUUGUUAUUGGGCUAAAUACCCAUAUUUGUUUUAGUUGUCAUACAACUUAAACAUAAUGGGCCUAGUGGACCAAAACAAUUUUGGACCCCGAAGCCCAAACUAACUUAAAAGCCCAAUACGAACCUUUCGUAUAAUUAAUUAACUAAUUAAUUAAUCUUGACCAUUCUUCAAUUAAACCAUUUAAUUGCUUAUCCAUUUCAUAUAAUUUCUUCACUAACAUCCUUAUGUGGUGUGCGAUCCAUUAGGUUCCAAUUAGCGAGGCAGUGGGCGAUGUUACUCUUAACGAUCGAUUGUGAAUUGAAACCACAUUUCAAGUCUCCCUUAAGAUUAGUGUUUGAUAAUCUUCAGGGCUUCCACAAACCAUGAGUGACACCUAGCAGCAUAUCAUGGUUACCCAAGCUAAGUAGAAUUGGUUGGAGAACCUAUCCAGUUACAACUACAAUGCAAUACGGUCAUUCUCUAAUACAAUACUCUUAAUCACAUUGUUUAAGUGAUAGUUUGUUUCAUGUCUACUAUCCAAUGUGAUAUUUUCCUAUAUGAUUCCUUUGAAUAUGAUUUGGUACAAACUUCCUAAGUCAUAUUCAUUUGCUUUGGCCAAAGACUUUAGAAUCAUAUCUUAUAGUAUUCUCCCUCCACCAUGGAAGGUUAGAGAUCCCUUGUUGUGCAUUCAUAUGCCUACAUGACUAGAUAGCUUGACCCCAACAAUGCCGUGGACAAUCCGAAGGAAUGCCGUUGACAUGAUCAAAGAUCAAGGACCUAACCAUUAGACAUCUAUGAUGCCUCAGGUCAAAGGACUACUUUGCAUAUUGCAACUUUAGAGUUCAUACAUGACAUGUAUGUUCGAACUCUCUUUUGAUCGACGUUCAGUGUACUCGAUUACCUUUUCGAGCACCUAUGUGUUUGUCUCAGUGUCCAACACCAAAUGACUUGAGACUAGUUCAUACUCACGUUUGAGUCAACAUAACACAUACUAACCUUAGCGGAUUGUCAAUGCCCAAUUGGCAAUCCUAUGGCUAGGAACGUUUUAGGAAUGAACAUAAGAGAAAGGUCUCGAUAAUCUAACUCAUUAGAUCACUUAUCUCUUAGAACAAAUACAUUCCUUGGAUUCCCUUAUUGCUUAAACACAUGAUACAAUAAAUAGUGAUUAACAAUAAGCUUUGCCCUUCAUUAAACAUAUAAAAGUUUAAUACAAUAAGUAUUCCAAAAGCUAUUACAUCAAAUGAGUGGCUUUGUGGGCAUACUUCCAACAAUCUCCCACUUGCACUCAAAAGCCAUCUUCCCAUGUAUCUAAUACCCAUUUUAUCCAUAUGACGAUCAAGCUGGAUUUGAGACAUUGGCUUUGUCAGUGGAUCUGCUACGUUAUCGGCUGAGGCAACUUUGAGGAUGUUGACUUUCCCCUCGGCAGCAUAUCUUCUAAUGAUAUUAAAACGUCUGUCAAAAUGCUUGUUCUUUUGAUGUGCCCUGGGUUCCUUGGCUUGAGCUAUCGCCCCAUUAUUAUCACAGUACAAAGUUACUGGUGAUGUAAUGGUUGGAACCACUCCAAGUUCAGUAAUGAACUUCUUCAUCCAGAACGCUUCUUUGCCGGCUUCAGCUGUAGCGACAUAUUCAGCCUCUGUCGUGGAAUCAGCAAUUACACUUUGCUUCUUGCUUUUCCAACUGACAGCCCCACCAUUCAGAGUGAAUACAUAUCCUGAGUUGGAACUUCUAUCAUCGACGUCAGAUUGGAAAUCUGCGUCUGUAUAGCCUUCCACUCGCAACUCUGCCGCUCCUCCAUAUACGAGGAACAUGUCUUUAGUUCUUCUUAAGUACUUAAGGACCGUCUUAACAGCUGCCCAGUGUUAAUCCUGGGUUAGAUUGAUAUCGACUAGUAAUGCUCACAGCAUAUGCGAUAUCAGGCCUUGUGCAUAUCAUGGCAUACAUGAGACUUCCUAUGGCGGAAGCAUAAGGAAUCCUACUCAUAUGCCCUAUCUCUUCAGGAGUCUUAGGUUCCAUGGACUUAGAAAGGUGAAUUCCAUGUCUUACAGGAAGAAAGCCUUUCUUAGAUUAUUCCAUCUCGAACCUACUUAGCACCUUAUCAAUGUACAUAGAUUGGGAUAAUCCAAUUAAUUUUCUGGAUCUAUCACGAUAGAGCUUUAUCCCAAGUACAUAAGAUGCAUCUCCUAAAUCUUUCAUGUGGAAGGUUUUGGACAACCACACUUUUACAGAAGAAAGUAUUGCAGUGUCAUUCCCGAAUAGUAAUAUGUCAUCUACAUAUAACACUAGGAAUACAACUGCAUUCCCAACGACUUUUUGAUAAACACAAUUGUCGUCUUCGUUUUGAGUAAAACCAAACGUUUUGAUUUCAGUGUCGAAACGAAUGUUCCAGCUCCUGGAGGCUUGUUUAAGUCCAUAAAUGGAUCUUUGAAGCUUGCAUACCUUAGUCUUUUCAGACUUGGACACGAAACCUUCGGGUUGAGUCAUAUAGAGCUCUUCCUCUAGGUAGCCGUUCAGAAAGGCCGUCUUCACGUCCAUUUGCCAGAUCUCAUAAUCAUGGUACGCAGCUAUCGCAAGCAAAAUCCGAAUGGACUUAAUCAUGGCUACAGGAGAGAAAGUUUCUUCAUAGUCAAUCCCUUCUCUUUGCCUGUAACCCUUGGCUACUAAUCUAGCCUUAUAAGUCUCCACGUUCCCAUCAACGCCUAUCUUCCUCUUGAAGACCCAUUUGUUUCCAACAGGUACAAUACCUUCUGGAGGGUCUACAAGAGUCCAGACCUGAUUUUGAUACAUGGAAUCCAUCUCGGAUUUCAUGGCCUCUUGCCAUCUCUUUGAAUCAAUGUCGGAAAUUGCUUCAGUGUAGUCUCUAGGGUCUUCCUUUGUUUCAUUGUCACCUAGAAGGUACAAUUCAUCAAAGUCAUUGUCUAAGCCAUACCUCUUAGGUGGCUUACUAACCCGUUCAGAUCUACGUGGAGCUAGGGGUUCAGGAACAGGGUUGUCAUCUUGUUGAGUGCUGGUUUGUGGUUCAUCAUUAAUCUCAUUAAUUUCUUUCAAUUCUAUCGUUUUCUCACUACUUCCAUUGAGAACGAAUUCAUCUUCAAGGAAUAUAGCAGUUCUGGCGACAAAGACUUUCUUGUCGUCAGGGUUAUAGAAUUCGUAUCCCAAAGUCUGUUUGGAAUACCCCACAAAAUAGCACUUAAUAGAUCUUGCUUCAAGCUUGUCAGCUUCAAGCCUUUUAACGUAAGCCGGACAACCCCAAAUCCUAAUAUGAUUAAGAUUUGUGCUUUUGCCAUGCCAUAUCUCAUAUGGCGUUUGUGAAACUGACUUGGAAGGUACUCUAUUAAGCAAGUAAGCUGCUGUAUAUAGAGCGUAUCCCCAGAAUGAUACUGGUAGAUUAGCAGAACUCAUCAUAGAACGAACCAUGUUCAUCAAGGUUCGAUUUCUCCGUUCAGAAACUCCGUUAUGCUGAGGAGUUCCUGGUGGAGUCCACUGUGAUACUAUUCCACACUCUUUGAGAUAAUCUAGGAACUCGUUACUCAGAUAUUCACCCCCUUGAUCUGAUCUUAGGGUCUUUAUCUGUUUCCCAGUUUGCUUCUCAACUUCAUUCUUGAAUUCUUUGAACCUUUCAAAGGAUUCUGACUUGUACUUCAUAAGAUACACAUAGCCAAACCGAGAGUGAUCGUCGGUGAAUGUGAUAUAGUAGGAGAAGCCUCCUCUCGACGUAGUAGACAUAGGUCCACAUACGUCAAUGUGGAUUAACCCUAGAAUUUCAGUGGCACGUUCUCCUUUUCCAGUAAAUGGAGAUUUGGUCAUCUUACCUUUCAAGCAACAUUCACAAGUACCCAUUUGGUCAUUACCUAAUGGGCGAAUAUAUCCGUCUUUCGACAUCUUGCGAAUCUUAUCAAGGUUCACAUGUCCAAGUUUAAGAUGCCACAUCUUUUCUUGGUUAACUUCUUCUCUAGCCCUUUUGGGUUUUGAGGUAUUCCCGCUCUCAAUACAGUGCAUCCCACUAUUCGUCUCUAGGUGAAAAAGUCCCUCUAUCAUAUUACCAUGAGAGAUAAUACGACCGUUCAAGUAUAAAGUGCAACUCAUUUUGUCAAACAAUACUGAGUGCCCAUCUCGUAAAAGCUUAGAGAUAGAAAUCAAAUUCUUUAUACAUGAAGGAAAAUAUAAACAAUUUUUAAGUUCCAGGACUUCCCCAGAGGGUAGGUUAAGCAUGUAGGUGCCUAUUGUUUUUGCAGAGAUUUUAGUGCCGUUCCCAACUCGCACAACCAUCUCCUCAUUGCGCAGUGUCCUGCUCCCAGCUAGUCCCUGCAACGUAUUGCAGAUAUGUUGACUAGCGCCUGAAUCAAAUAUCCAGGAAUUGGAGCUCACUGUAAAAGCACUCUCUAUGACAGAAAUAGUCUCUUCAAAAGUUCGUGUCAUAAGGCUCGCAAUGCGCACCCUGUAUUUCUUCUUCCAACGUUCAUCCUUUCCACAAUGAAAGCAUGUUCCUUUGGAUUUCUUUGCCUUCUUCUUAUGCAACCUUUUCCUCAUCAUUGCAUUCUCACUCCCACUGUCCCUUUUGAAACCUUUUUUCAAAUUUACAGCACAUGUCGAUCAUCUCUCUUUCAAAGAAUGAUCGAAUCUAUUCACUUUAUAGUUUACAAUAAACUUAGUGAAAUCAUCCGAGAGAGAUGCAAGGAAAAAGUCUUGGGCCAUUUUCCCAUCGAUGGAAGUUCCUAAACUUUUAAGAUCUUUAAAUAUCUUUUCCAUCUUUUGUCCAUGUUUAUGGACCGAUGCCCCCUUUGCCAUCUUGGCAUUCAUUAGACUACAAACAUUUGAGAAUCGUACAUUACUAGUCUCAAUGUCAUGCAUCUUAUGCAAACUUUCAACCAUGGCACAAGAAGUGUCCAUGUGCUUAUGUAGCUUCAUAAGCUCCUCACUAAGUGAAGUAAGGAUUAAGCAUUUGGCUUGUAAGUCAUUCUCAUAGUGUCUAACAUAAUUUUGGCACUCCUCCUUUGAAGCUAGUUUCGUAGGAGGUACAUGAGGAGGGGAUUGCUUAAGCACAUACAAUAUGUCUUUCACCUUUGAGACAUUCUCAAUGUGGCGAUACCAAGCAAGGAAACGUUGGCCCUUAAGGCCCCUUUUGUCAAGUAUAAUGGUGGGUAUAAUUUUAGGCAUGUCGUUCACUACAUAACAUAACAGAAAUCGUAUUAGAUUGUUUGUUUAAAACUAUUUGAUUGGGUCUUUGAAUCAAAUAGUACCACCCACUAUUUUUGGCAAAUUCCACAUCCCUCAAUAGAAUUCGAGAGUUAUAUUGAACUCUUAGCGGGUUAUGGGAGACUCACCAUUACCAAGCCCACCUCAGAAGAACUCCAUAUUGGCUAGCAAAAAUAAUGAUGAGAGGAUAACGCAUUAUCCAUUUACAACUUUUGUAAUUACCCAUCUAUUUUGGCCUCUAGAGAAUGAUGCCUCAGAAGAACUCCAUAUUGGCACCAUUGCACUUAGUUAAGUUAUUCCCACCAUGCUAGUUCAAGUAGGGGUUCAAGACUGACCUCAGAAGAACUCCAUAUUGGCCAUACUCGUUGCCUACUUUCACUUCAUCAUAUGUUUAUGGGCUUCUCCUGAAUGUAAGCACAUACUUUGCAUACCCCAGAACUGGACGAAUACGGUGUAUGAGUCACAAACGAUUGAAGCCCACCACGGUGGAAGGCCUACGAAGAGAUGUUCAAAGCAUCUCUCGCUUAUCAACUUAAUAUCAGUUGUUGAGGGAGUAGUUUUGGGCUACAUCAAAACAUUUUAAUCAUAUUAAAAGAACUUGGGCCUAUCACAACUAUUGGUCCAAGUCAAUAUGAAUUAGUAGCAUAUAAUACUCCCACUGUUUCGUUGAAACAAGCGAGACUAUAUGGAACUACUAACGAAUGCAUUGCAUCCUCAUAUGGACUAUAUAGUCAUAUUAGGUUUUAGGAUGAUUAUGAACCGUUUGAUUUGAUCCAACACGAGCCUUGUGUUAGACCUUGGGUUUAAGGUAGAUAGUUGUUGAUUUUAGUUACGCGUUUAAUCCAAUUAAACCGUUAUUUCCUAUUGGGCGUUGGACCCAACUAUUCCAUUUUGCAUACAUAUAAACAAAAAGGAAUACAUGAAAUAAUAAUAAGGGCUUAUGCCCUUUUACAACAUAAAUCAAAUGAUGGACUUAUGUCCAUUUACAACAAUUCGAAUUAAUCAAAUUACAUUCAAAUCUACACUACCAAACCCAAACAUUCAUAAUGUAAAGCGGCCAAUCACAUAGCUCAAUUAUCGAUGCCUUUGGUUCAUAAUCACCAUUUUCUUAAUCAAUCACAUUAACUAAGAAAGCAACUUUAAACAAUUGGUUUUUGGAUCCAUAGAAUUGAUUUAAAUGGAACUAAAUGAAAUGAAAAUCCAAUUCUCAUUAAAGAGACAAAACAAUUUUGUUCUCAUUUUAUUUGGGCCAAAAGGAAACUAUGACCACAACAAUUGGGCCAUAAUGCAAAUACAAAAACUUUUGGGGUCACUUUGUAUAAACACAAUAGUCCACAACUUCAUGUAAAUACAACUAGAUCCCAAAAUUUUAAUAAUGUAAAAACAUCAUUAAAGGAUCAAAACAAUUUGUCCUUUAGAGUUUUUAAGCCUAAACGUAAAAACGUAAACUUUUGGGCCAAAAUGCAAAAACACAAAAGUAUCAAAACUUUAUGUUAAUUGCACAAAAGGCCCCAAAAGGACCCCCACUAGGGGUGGCCGGCCAUUUAAUGAAAAAUUGAAAAAAAAUCUAAAAAGUUUUUGCAAGUUGAUUUUAUUAGGUGAGGUUAAAGGUGAAGGUGAUGGUUUGUAAGAAAAACUUAAAGUUUAUGACAAACAUUAAAACCAUUUCAUCACAUCUCACCAAUAACAUCACCCAUCAAAUAAUAAAUCAAUUAUAUACCAAAACUUUAUGAAAAACAUAAAAAUUUAGAAUCAAAACUUCAAACCUUUUUGUUCUUGGCAAGAACUUCAAGAACAUUUGAAGAACACCAUGAAAACUCAUAAUAGCUCCAUGGAUGUUUUCAUUCACCAAAACUCAAUUUUCACCUCUCAAAAGAGGGCUAAUAUCCUAGGGUACUUAGGGGUUCCAAAAGUCACCUUAAAACCAUUUUAACAAGACAAACAUGAACCCAAAAAGUCACCCUAAGGAUUUGGCCGAAUUUCCCAAAACACAUGGCACCAAAUUUUAGUUCCAAUAUUCAUGCUUGAAUGAAAUACAUCUACAACAUUUGAGAUGCUAAAUUUUCUAGCAAAAUUCAUAUAUUCAAAAGCAAGAACAAAGCUUGUAACAUUUACAACAUUUAAAUCACAAAAUAUGAACAUCACAAAACCCAAAAGGAUUCACCAUACACUAGGCCUAGGCUCUGAUACCACUUGAAGGAAAAAUUUUGUCCUAGCUAAGAACAAGUAUGAACAUUUGAAUACACAUGCAAGCUAUUAACACUUUAAAGUAGGCAUGCAUCCAAAAACAAUUCAUAAAACCCAUGACUUUCAAAGCCUAGUAUAUGGUGAACCAAAAUAAAACUCUUUAACAACAUUAAAGAGAAGUAAAGAUUUAGUGAUUCUUUACCUUGAAGCUCAUCCUUGUUUACACAAGGGAUUCACCCAAGUGGAGGGCCUUCAAGUCACCUCCAAGCUCCUUGAAUCCUCCUUGUGUUUUCCUCCCUUUAGUGCUCCUUUGAUGAUUAGAGGAAAAAGGAUUUGUUCUCCAAAAACAUCAAAAGCUUGAUGUCUCUAAGUCUCUUCACCAAGGUUGUAUAUUGUGAAGAUGAUAUGGAUGACUUAGAGAGAUUUUAGAUGCUAGUAAAAAUCCUCUAAGUGGCCGGCCUCUAUGUAGAAAAUGAGAGAAAAUGUUUCACCCAAUUUCUAUUAGAAAACCCCAAUGAGAAACAAAGCUAUAAAGAUGACUUUAUACUUCAUCUCUUAGGUUAGUGGCAAACUUGCAAUUAAGCAUAAAUUCCCACUACCCUUGACAUGGCCGGCCUCCUUUUGUUAUUGGGCUAAAUACCCAUAUUUGUUUUAGUUGUCAUACAACUUAAACAUAAUGGGCCUAGUGGACCAAAACAAUUUUGGACCCCGAAGCCCAAACUAACUUAAAAGCCCAAUACGAACCUUUCGUAUAAUUAAUUAACUAAUUAAUUAAUCUUGACCAU